AUGUCGGGACGGCGGUCCCGGAAGGUAGUAUGUUGGUGGAAUAUGCAGGGCAUAACGGAGCAGCGGAGGUCGAGGCGGCAGCCUCGAGAGUUCGACAACAUCGAUUGUGUUCAUCUCGUGUCGCUUGGGCGGCGAGGUUGCUCUCGAUUUUGUCGGCGGCGUCUCAAGCUUCACCUUGUGGGAGCGUCCCAAGUCUGCUCCUCUCAUAGCAGUCGUGGCUUCUUCUCUCCGGCAACAGUGGUUUCAUCUGUGUGUAUGGCGUUAGUGUGCUCCAAUGAUGGUUGUGGCAUCGUUGGCAAGUGUGGUGUGGCCUUGUGGUGUGGCGAUUCAAGUUGGCUUGGCCAUGUGACGAGUGGGGCUUGGCCCUGUUUGUAUCGGUUUUCGUCCGGUUUUCCGUAA
rnacentral:rRNA from 1 species